rnacentral:rRNA from 1 species
AGAGUUUGAUCAUGGCUCAGGACGAACGCUGGCGGCGUGCCUAAUACAUGCAAGUGGAACGCAUGAUUGAUAUCGGAGCUUGCUCCACCAUUAAUCAUGAGUCGCGAACGGGUGAGUAACGCGUAGGUAACCUGCCUGAUAGCGGGGGAUAACUAUUGGAAACGAUAGCUAAUACCGCAUAAGAGUCGUUAACACAUGUUAAUGAUUUAAAAGGAGCAAUUGCUUCACUAUCAGAUGGACCUGCGUUGUAUUAGCUAGUUGGUGAGGUAACGGCUCACCAAGGCUUCGAUACAUAGCCGACCUGAGAGGGUGAUCGGCCACACUGGGACUGAGACACGGCCCAGACUCCUACGGGAGGCAGCAGUAGGGAAUCUUCGGCAAUGGACGAAAGUCUGACCGAGCAACGCCGCGUGAGUGAAGAAGGUUUUCGGAUCGUAAAGCUCUGUUAUAAGCGAAGAACGGGAGUAAGAGUGGAAAGUUUACUCUGUGACGGUAGCUUAUCAGAAAGGGACGGCUAACUACGUGCCAGCAGCCGCGGUAAUACGUAGGUCCCGAGCGUUGUCCGGAUUUAUUGGGCGUAAAGCGAGCGCAGGUGGUUUAAUAAGUCUGAAGUUAAAGGCAUUGGCUCAACCAAUGUACGCUUUGGAAACUGUUGAACUUGAGUGCAGAAGGGGAGAGUGGAAUUCCAUGUGUAGCGGUGAAAUGCGUAGAUAUAUGGAGGAACACCGGUGGCGAAAGCGGCUCUCUGGUCUGUAACUGACACUGAGGCUCGAAAGCGUGGGUAGCGAACAGGAUUAGAUACCCUGGUAGUCC